AUUGAACGCUGGCGGCAUGCCUUACACAUGCAAGUCGAACGGCAGCACGGAGCUUGCUCUGGUGGCGAGUGGCGAACGGGUGAGUAAUAUAUCGGAACGUACCCUAGAGUGGGGGAUAACGUAGCGAAAGUUACGCUAAUACCGCAUACGAUCUAAGGAUGAAAGUGGGGGAUCGCAAGACCUCAUGCUCGUGGAGCGGCCGAUAUCUGAUUAGCUAGUUGGUAGGGUAAAAGCCUACCAAGGCAUCGAUCAGUAGCUGGUCUGAGAGGACGACCAGCCACACUGGAACUGAGACACGGUCCAGACUCCUACGGGAGGCAGCAGUGGGGAAUUUUGGACAAUGGGCGAAAGCCUGAUCCAGCAAUGCCGCGUGAGUGAAGAAGGCCUUCGGGUUGUAAAGCUCUUUUGUCAGGGAAGAAACGGUGAAAGCUAAUAUCUUUUGCUAAUGGCGGUACCUGAAGAAUAAGCACCGGCUAACUACGUGCCAGCAGCCGCGGUAAUACGUAGGGUGCAAGCGUUAAUCGGAAUUACUGGGCGUAAAGCGUGCGCAGGCGGUUUUGUAAGUCUGAUGUGAAAUCCCCGGGCUCAACCUGGGAAUUGCAUUGGAGACUGCAAGGCUAGAAUCUGGCAGAGGGGGGUAGAAUUCCACGUGUAGCAGUGAAAUGCGUAGAUAUGUGGAGGAACACCGAUGGCGAAGGCAGCCCCCUGGGUCAAGAUUGACGCUCAUGCACGAAAGCGUGGGGAGCAAACAGGAUUAGAUACCCUGGUAGUCCACGCCCUAAACGAUGUCUACUAGUUGUCGGGUCUUAAUUGACUUGGUAACGCAGCUAACGCGUGAAGUAGACCGCCUGGGGAGUACGGUCGCAAGAUUAAAACUCAAAGGAAUUGACGGGGACCCGCACAAGCGGUGGAUGAUGUGGAUUAAUUCGAUACAACGCGAAAAACCUUACCUACCCUUGACAUGGCUGGAAUCCUUGAGAGAUCAGGGAGUGCUCGAAAGAGAACCAGUACACAGGUGCUGCAUGGCUGUCGUCAGCUCGUGUCGUGAGAUGUUGGGUUAAGUCCCGCAACGAGCGCAACCCUUGUCAUUAGUUGCUACGAAAGGGCACUCUAAUGAGACUGCCGGUGACAAACCGGAGGAAGGUGGGGAUGACGUCAAGUCCUCAUGGCCCUUAUGGGUAGGGCUUCACACGUCAUACAAUGGUACAUACAGAGCGCCGCCAACCCGCGAGGGGGAGCUAAUCACAGAAAGUGUAUCGUAGUCCGGAUUGUAGUCUGCAACUCGACUGCAUGAAGUUGGAAUCGCUAGUAAUCGCGGAUCAGCAUGUCGCGGUGAAUACGUUCCCGGGUCU
rnacentral:rRNA from 1 species